GACGAACGCUGGCGGCGUGCUUAACACAUGCAAGUCGAACGGAAAGGCCUCUUUCGGGGGGUACUCGAGUGGCGAACGGGUGAGUAACACGUGAGUAACCUGCCCUUGACUUUGGGAUAACUUCAGGAAACUGGGGCUAAUACCGGAUAGGAGCUCCUGCUGCAUGGUGGGGGUUGGAAAGUUUCGGCGGUUGGGGAUGGACUCGCGGCUUAUCAGCUUGUUGGUGGGGUAGUGGCUUACCAAGGCUUUGACGGGUAGCCGGCCUGAGAGGGUGACCGGCCACAUUGGGACUGAGAUACGGCCCAGACUCCUACGGGAGGCAGCAGUGGGGAAUAUUGCACAAUGGGUGGAAGCCUGAUGCAGCAACGCCGUGUGCGAGAUGACGGCCUUCGGGUUGUAAACCGCUUUCGCUCAUGACGAAGCUUUGUGUGACGGUAGUGGGUAAAGAAGCACCGGCUAACUACGUG
rnacentral:rRNA from 1 species